rnacentral:lncRNA from 1 species
UCACAGUGGUGGCGGGUCCCGUUGGCUUUUAAUUCUAGUUUCUUYGUGUUGCCAGAUUUCUACAAGAGUAGUCCUGUCUGCAGAAUGCCAGACCUCUCCCUGCAACAUUAAGAAGUGCACUGGCUGGGCGAGAGGUCGGAGUCGGUGGGCAGACAGCUGCCCUCAGGACACAGACUUUCAAGCCGGGACUCUAUCAGAGGAGCCUCUCACAUUGGUGGUUGAGAAAGAGCUGGAAUGAAGUCAUCCCUCUUCUGGUUUUGUCUUCAUCCCACAGUUUGCAAAGCUGCAGAGAGCAUCGUUGACAAUGCCUUGUGUUCUACAGCAUGCAUGCUCAGGAAGGAGCACCUGGCUGCAGAGAUUACUCAACGCGCCCGCAGAGCCCCUCAAUGCAGUGGACUGGAGGACACGGACAGGGACCUGGGCUGCUAUGUCCGGGCCGUGGGAGCCUUGCUGCCUGGACAGUGUGCCCUGAGGGGACCCCGGAUGGCAGUCAGGCACUGGCCUGGCUCAGGCCUGGCUCCGCUCUUCAGUGGUCAGCGUGAGCCCUGCCAUCCUCCUUUCUUUGUCUGUGGAUGCGGGGUCAUUGCAGUCGGCCUCAACGCCCCCUUAGCUCUUCCAUUCUCAAAUUCCAUUUACCUUUUGAUCCGGUUCCAUCCUUUUAAGUGCUGUCACCUUUGCUUACUUGUAUAA